UACGUAGGCAGCAAGCGUUGUUCGGAGUUACUGGGCGUAAAGGGUGUGUAGGCGGUUGGUUAAGUUUGGUGUGAAAUCUCCCGGCUCAACUGGGAGGGUGCGCCGAAUACUGAGUGACUCGAGUGCGGGAGAGGAAAGUGGAAUUCCUGGUGUAGCGGUGAAAUGCGUAGAUAUCAGGAGGAACAUCGGUGGUGUAGACGGCUUUCUGGACCGUAACUGACGCUGAGACACGAAAGCGUGGGUAGCAAACAGG
rnacentral:rRNA from 1 species